rnacentral:ncRNA from 1 species
UACCUGGUUGAUCCUGCCAGUAGUCAUAUGCUUGUCUCAAAGAUUAAGCCAUGCAAGUCUAAGUACGAGCUCUCGUACAGUGAAACUGCGAAUGGCUCAUUAAAUCAGUUAUGGUUCAUUUGAUCGUACAGUUUACUUGGAUAACUGUGGUAAUUCUAGAGCUAAUACAUGCGAGAAGCGCCGACCUCGCGGGAGGCGUGCAUUUAUCAGACCAAAAACCGGCCGCGUCUUCGGGCGCGUUCGCCUUGGUGACUCUGGAUAACUUUGCGGAUCGCACGGUCUAGCACCGGCGACGGAUCAUUCAAGUGUCUGCCCUAUCAACUUUCGUCGGUACGGUAUUUGCCUACCGAGGUUCUUACGGGUGACGGGGAAUCAGGGUUCGAUUCCGGAGAGGGAGCCUGAGAAACGGCUACCAAAUCCAAGGAAGGCAGCAGGCGCGCAAAUUACCCAUUCCCGACGCGGGG